rnacentral:rRNA from 1 species
UACGUAGGGCGCGAGCGUUGUCCGGAAUUAUUGGGCGUAAAGAGCUCGUAGGCGGCCUGUCGCGUCCGCUGUGAAAACCCGGGGCUUAACCCCGACGCCUGCUUCUGAUACGGGCAGACUAGAGGUAUGCAGGGGAGAACGGAAUUCCUGGUGUAGCGGUGAAAUGCGCAGAUAUCAGGAGGAACACCGGUGGCGAAGGCGGUUCUCUGGGCAUUACCUGACGCUGAGGAGCGAAAGUGUGGGGAGCGAACAGG